CUUAGUCAUGGUCUAUUGACUUUGAAAAUUUUUCUGAGUUAUCAUGUAUUAGUUUGUGAUUAGGUCAAUUCAAGGGGAACCAUUAGUGGUAGGCCAAUGUUAAUUGGUAUUCAGUUGUAUAAGCAUUGGCACAUCUCAUUUCCAUGGAGAAUAUUUAGCCUAACCCCUCAGUCACAGUCUAAUAACUUUGAAACUUAUCUUAGUUUACAUUUAUUAGUGUGUGGUUAGAUCAAUUUAAGAUCAACUGCUAAUGUUAAGCCAAUGAUAUUUGGUAUGCAAAUUUAUUAGUAUUUGCAAGUAUCUUUUCCAUGGAGAUUAUAUAGCCCCACC
rnacentral:lncRNA from 1 species